rnacentral:piRNA from 1 species
UUGGAAGUUGCUUGAAGUUCAAAUGGUGAC